rnacentral:rRNA from 1 species
AGCGAACGCUGGCGGCAGGCCUAACACAUGCAAGUCGAACGGAUCCUUCGGGAUUAGUGGCGGACGGGUGAGUAACACGUGGGAACGUGCCCUUUGGUUCGGAACAACACAGGUAAACUUGAGCUAAUACCGGAUGUGCCCUUCGGGGGAAAGAUUGAUCGCCAUUGGAGCGGCCCGCGUCUGAUUAGCUAGUUGGUGAGGUAACGGCCCACCAAGGCGACGAUCAGUAGCUGGUCUGAGAGGAUGAGCAGCCACACUGGGACUGAGACACGGCCCAGACUCCUACGGGAGGCAGGAGUGGGUGAUCUUGCGCAAUGGGGGAAAGGCUGACGGAGCCAUGCCGGGUGAAUGAUGAAGGUCUUAGGAUUGAAAAAUUCUUUCAGCGGGGACGAUAAUGACGGUACCCGCAGAAGAAGCUCCGGCUAACUUCGUG